GAUAUCCCCAGUCCUCUCUAUAUAAUACCUUAGGUGAGGUGAUAUCUCCAGUCCUCUCUAUAUAAUACCUUAGGUGAGGUGAUAUCUCCAGUCCUCUCUAUAUAAUACCUUAGGUGAGGUGAUAUCCCCAGUCCUCUCUAUAUAAUACCUUAGGUGAGGUGAUAUCCCCAGUCCUCUCUAUAUAAUACCUUAGGUGAGGUGAUAUCUCCAGUCCUCUCUAUAUAAUACCUUAGGUGAGGUGAUAUCCCCAGUCCUCUCUAUAUAAUACCUUAGGUGAGGUGAUAUCCCCAGUCCUCUCUA